rnacentral:ncRNA from 1 species
AACUCUGGAGAGUCUCCAAAAGGGCGCCGAAGGUGUACGGCAGAUCAGGUAAUCUGCCAAUCUCUCAGGCAAAAGGACAGAGGAU